rnacentral:lncRNA from 1 species
AAAAAAUUGAUAUUUUGUCUCCUAUCUGAGAAACGCGGUCUCUGCUCUCUCCAUCUCUCUGUCUUUGCCAUCUCCUCCCAAUCUCCGGUCUUUGACCGCCAUCUCCUCAUAGUCUCCGAUCUCCGACCGCCAUCUCUUCCCAGUCUCCGACGGCUGCAUUCUCUCUAACGGUCUCUUCUCCUUCUGCGAUUCAACAUCGACUGCUGUCUCCGUCGCCGAAUCAAACCGUUGAAGGUGAUGUAUAUUUUAAAUCUUGUAUUGUUUUCAAUUGACCAGCUUGUAUAGUAUAAAUUAUGGUGCCACUUUAGACUUUAUGUAGCUAACUGUUAAAUUGAAUUACUACAUCAAAUCUCUCUUGCGCACACAAAUUUCAAACAUGGACAAUAUUUCAACAGCUCUGUAAUAUGUGCAUUUGUUUUUGGCUUUCUGGAAUUAGCUAUACCAAUUUAUGAAGUUUUUGCACCUUUUACCCAUUUGGAUGCUUUUAUUAUGUUAAUGGUUGCACUUUAUGAGAAUUGCAUUUGUUUUUGUGAUACAUAAAUAACAUGUUAUACAUAGAAAACAUUCAUUUAUCAUUGUAUUAUUGUUAGUAAAAAAUCAUAAGUUUUCCCCAAAAUUUUUAGUUUGAUUGUGGUUGUUCCUCUAAAUGUUAUCACAUAGAGUUGGUGUCAAAUUCUUAAUCACAAGAAUUGCGGUCACAUUUUUGUUAAAAAAUGGUCAAAUUGUGAGAAAUUUGAAGGAAAAAAAAUGUGGUUACGUCUAUGUUAAAAUAUGGUUAAGUGCAGAUAAUUUUUUUUUUCAGUAUGUCUAUGGUAACAAAGAUAAGAAAACAUUAACUUGUCACAGUAUUAUCUCCAUAACAUUCUUCAAUUUUUGUGGAAAACAUGUGAUUUUAAAAGGUGUUUGUAUUUUAGUUAUAAGAUGAAUUUUUUUUAAAUUGUUCUUGUAACGUGUGUUGAGAAUAGGUGUUUGUGUGUGUUUUAAUUGUUGCUGAUAGAAAUUGUUUUUGUAUACAACAGAUAAGAUAAACAUCAUGAACAAAAACAAAUGAAAAAGGGUUGGUGGUGUCGGUGUUGGUGUAAGUACACUGUAAUUAAUUAUACAUUUAAUGUGUAUGUAAUUGUUUGUGUUUGAUGUC